UACGGGGGGGGCAAGCGUUGUUCGGAAUUACUGGGCGUAAAGGGCUCGUAGGCGGCCUGUUAAGUCGAACGUGAAAUCCCCGGGCUCAACCCGGGAACUGCGUCCGAUACUGGCAGGCUUGAAUUCGGGAGAGGGAUGCGGAAUUCCAGGUGUAGCGGUGAAAUGCGUAGAUAUCUGGAGGAACACCGGUGGCGAAGGCGGCAUCCUGGACCGAGAUUGACGCUGAUGCGCGAAAGCCAGGGGAGCAAACGGG
rnacentral:rRNA from 1 species